rnacentral:rRNA from 1 species
GACGAACGCUGUUGGCGUGCUUAACACAUGCAAGUCGAACGGAAAGGCCCUGCUUUUGUGGGGUGCUCGAGUGGCGAACGGGUGAGUAACACGUGAGUAACCUGCCCUUGACUUUGGGAUAACUUCAGGAAACUGGGGCUAAUACCGGAUAGGAGCUCCUGCUGCAUGGUGGGGGUUGGAAAGUUUCGGCGGUUGGGGAUGGACUCGCGGCUUAUCAGCUUGUUGGUGGGGUAGUGGCUUACCAAGGCUUUGACGGGUAGCCGGCCUGAGAGGGUGACCGGCCACAUUGGGACUGAGAUACGGCCCAGACUCCUACGGGAGGCAGCAGUGGGGAAUAUUGCACAAUGGGCGGAAGCCUGAUGCAGCAACGCCGCGUGCGGGAUGACGGCCUUCGGGUUGUAAACCGCUUUCGCCUGUGACGAAGCGUGAGUGACGGUAAUGGGUAAAGAAGCACCGGCUAACUACGUGCCAGCAGCCGCGGUGAUACGUAGGGUGCGAGCGUUGUCCGGAUUUAUUGGGCGUAAAGGGCUCGUAGGUGGUUGAUCGCGUCGGAAGUGUAAUCUUGGGGCUUAACCCUGAGCGUGCUUUCGAUACGGGUUGACUUGAGGAAGAUAGGGGAGAAUGGAAUUCCUGGUGGAGCGGUGGAAUGCGCAGAUAUCAGGAGGAACACCAGUGGCGAAGGCGGUUCUCUGGGCCUUUCCUGACGCUGAGGAGCGAAAGCGUGGGGAGCGAACAGGCUUAGAUACCCUGGUAGUCCACGCUGUAAACGGUGGGUACUAGGUGUGGGGUCCAUUCCACGGGUUCCGUGCCGUAGCUAACGCUUUAAGUACCCCGCCUGGGGAGUACGGCCGCAAGGCUAAAACUCAAAGGAAUUGACGGGGCCCCGCACAAGCGGCGGAGCAUGCGGAUUAAUUCGAUGCAACGCGUAGAACCUUACCUGGGUUUGACAUGGAUCGGGAGUGCUCAGAGAUGGGUGUGCCUCUUUUGGGGUCGGUUCACAGGUGGUGCAUGCCUGUCGUCAGCUCGUGUCGUGAGAUGUUGGGUUAAGUCCCGCAACGAGCGCAACCCUUGUUCACUGUUGCCAGCACGUUAUGGUGGGGACUCAGUGGAGACCGCCGGGGUCAACUCGGAGGAAGGUGGGGAUGACGUCAAGUCAUCAUGCCCCUUAUGUCCAGGGCUUCACGCAUGCUACAAUGGCUGGUACAGAGAGUGGCGAGCCUGUGAGGGUGAGCGAAUCUCGGAAAGCCGGUCUCAGUUCGGAUUGGGGUCUGCAACUCGACCUCAUGAAGUCGGAGUCGCUAGUAAUCGCAGAUCAGCAACGCUGCGGUGAAUACGUUCCCGGG